UACGUAGGGGGCAAGCGUUGUCCGGAAUCAUUGGGCGUAAAGAGCGUGUAGGCGGCUCGGUAAGUCCGCUCUGAAAGCCCGGGGCUCAACCCCGGGAGGCGGGCGGAUACUGUCGGGCUAGAGUCCGGAAGAGGCGAGUGGAAUUCCUGGUGUAGCGGUGAAAUGCGCAGAUAUCAGGAGGAACACCAAUGGCGAAGGCAGCUCGCUAGGACGGUACUGACGCUGAGACGCGAAAGCGUGGGGAGCAAACAGG
rnacentral:rRNA from 1 species